AUUGAACGCUGGCGGCAGGCCUAACACAUGCAAGUCGAACGGUAACAGGAAGAAGCUUGCUUCUUUGCUGACGAGUGGCGGACGGGUGAGUAAUGUCUGGGAAACUGCCUGAUGGAGGGGGAUAACUACUGGAAACGGUAGCUAAUACCGCAUAACGUCGCAAGACCAAAGAGGGGGACCUUCGGGCCUCUUGCCAUCGGAUGUGCCCAGAUGGGAUUAGCUAGUAGGUGGGGUAACGGCUCACCUAGGCGACGAUCCCUAGCUGGUCUGAGAGGAUGACCAGCCACACUGGAACUGAGACACGGUCCAGACUCCUACGGGAGGCAGCAGUGGGGAAUAUUGCACAAUGGGCGCAAGCCUGAUGCAGCCAUGCCGCGUGUAUGAAGAAGGCCUUCGGGUUGUAAAGUACUUUCAGCGGGGAGGAAGGGAGUAAAGUUAAUACCUUUACUCAUUGACGUUACCCGCAGAAGAAGCACCGGCUAAGUCCGUG
rnacentral:rRNA from 1 species